CAAGAAUAAAUUGGUCAGAUUAUGAAAAAGAAAGCACUUUUCACUGUCCACCAGUGAAACAUGCAAUCAGAUGGAAGGGCUGGGAAAGAUAGGAGAAUAAAUAUGUCACUUUCUAAAUUUCAUGCUGUAAGCCGUCUGCAGAGACGGUCCAACCGUCAGGCAAUUUAGGCAUUUGCCUGUGGCGCCACACCCCUGGGGGCGCUGUUGAGGCCCCCGGGGGGUGGCGCCACCCCCACCCCCCCCCCGCCUCCUUUACCUUCGGGACAGGCCUUCCAACCGCGGUCUGGCCCUUGCUGUCCCGGCCUGACUGCCUGGACCUUGCCACCAUGCAGCCAGGCUGCAUGGGAGGCAUGGCCACGCCUCCACGCUACCUGGCCACGCCUCCCACACCAUGCGGCCUGGCCACGCCCCCCAUGCCAAGACACCUCCUCCCAGGGCAACAGCAGGUCGCCAGGCCAUGCCCUCCGCAUGCAACAGGUCGGACAAAAACAGAUCAGAGCCUCAAUGAAGCCAAGACACAAAACAGAACAAGCUAAACCUCUCCCAAAUGGGCUGGCUGCAGUAUGGAGCAAAACAACAUGAACUCUACUAUCAAAAAUGGUUACAAAAGGCUGAAAACAUGUGAAAGAAUAGAAGACCCUAACAAUGCCUUCCAAACAGGUUUUUUUUUCUUUUUCAAGGAAAAAUUGAAGGUCUUGGGAAUUUAGUGCAGUAGUAAUAAAAAGCAAGAAAAAUGAAGCUAAUUUGCAUUUUAUUAUGUCUGUACUAUUGUGUAUCUUAAAAUUGCAUUUAAUUCUUUGCAAAGUCCUGAAAGUAUAUAUUCUCAAUCAUAGUUGAAGAUUUUUGUAUGCACUGCUGGAUUAUCUAUAUAUACAUUGUUCUUUCUGAAUAGCUUUAAAAUAUUUUUUUCAAUUUUCCUGCAUGCAUCUGAUAUCAAAUCUAUUCACAGUAUCAUACAACAGCUUUGUAGAAGUUAUUUAGGCUUCAAUAUAAUCAUGUUGCUUCAUCCUUAUGGUGUUCCCUUCAAUGCUUCGUUCUUCACAGUUCUCUUAGUUUAUUUUCAUUUAAAUAAAGUAUAGUACAAUGGAGUCAGGAUACAUCUGACAAGAAAAUAUACACAUUUUUAUUAAUUUUGGGAUAAUUGUUAAUUUGCAUAAUUUGUUAAUAACAGCUGCUUUGCCAUUUUUACAUUUAUUGAGAGCCAUUUCCAAUUCAGUAGAUGUAAAAAGUUCAUAAGAGGCAAAAGAUAAUAGUGAUGAAGCAACACCUUAAUGAAGGUGCUGCUAAUUGAUCCAUUGACCCAGGUCUGAUGGAAAUGACUCCCUUGCCAGCACUGAAAAGACAAUAGUCUUCAUACAAAGAAAUUAUAAACACUCUUAAAGAGAGGCCUCGCAGUCCACAUUAAUCAGCAAAAGUUG
rnacentral:lncRNA from 1 species